rnacentral:rRNA from 1 species
GACGAAGGGGGCUAGCGUUGUUCGGAAUUACUGGGCGUAAAGCGAGUGUAGGUGGUUGUCCAAGUUGGAUGUGAAAGCCUUGAGCUCAACUCAAGAAAUGCAUUCAGGACUGGGCGGCUAGAGGACCGGAGAGGAUAGUGGAAUUCCCAGUGUAGUGGUGAAAUACGUAGAGAUUGGGAAGAACACCAGUGGCGAAGGCGGCUAUCUGGACGGUUUCUAACACUAAGACUCGAAAGCGUGGGGAGCAAACAGG